CGAGCGGAAAGGCCCUUCGGGGUACUCGAGCGGCGAACGGGUGAGUAACACGUGAGUAACCUGCCCUUGGCUCUGGGAUAGCUCCGGGAAACCGGAAUUAAUACCGGAUAUGACUUCGGCCGACAUCGGCUGCGGUGGAAAGAUUUAUCGGCCAGGGAUGGGCUCGCGGCCUAUCAGCUUGUUGGUGGGGUAACGGCCUACCAAGGCGACGACGGGUAGCCGGCCUGAGAGGGCGACCGGCCACACUGGGACUGAGACACGGCCCAGACUCCUACGGGAGGCAGCAGUGGGGAAUAUUGCGCAAUGGGCGAAAGCCUGACGCAGCGACGCCGCGUGGGGGAUGAAGGCCUUCGGGUUGUAAACCCCUUUCGGCAGGGACGAAGCGAAAGUGACGGUACCUGCAGAAGAAGCGCCGGCUAACUACGUGCCAGCAGCCGCGGUAACGCGUAGGGCGCAAGCGUUGUCCGGAAUCAUUGGGCGUAAAGAGCUCGUAGGUGGUUUGUCACGUCUGCUGUGAAAACUCGGGGCUUAACCCCGAGCUUGCAGUGGAUACGGGCAG
rnacentral:rRNA from 1 species